rnacentral:rRNA from 1 species
CCUACGGGGGGCAGCAGUGAGGAAUAUUGGUCAAUGGUCGGGAGACUGAACCAGCCAAGCCGCGUGAGGGAGGAAGGUACAGAGUAUCGUAAACCUCUUUUGUCAGGGAACAAAGGCGGGGACGUGUCCCCGGAUGAGUGUACCUGAAGAAAAAGCAUCGGCAAACUCCGUGCCAGCAGCCGCGGUAAUACGGAGGAUGCGAGCGUUAUCCGGAUUUAUUGGGUUUAAGGGGUGCGCGGGCGGUCUGUUAAGUCAGCGGUCAAAGCCCGGGGCUCAACCCCGGACCGCCGUUGAAACUGGCAGUCUCGAGUGGGAGAGAAGUAUGCGGAAUGCGCGGUGUAGCGGUGAAAUGCAUAGAUAUCGCGCAGAACUCCGAGUGCGAAGGCAGCAUACCGGCUCCACACUGACGCUGAGGCACGAAAGCGUGGGUAUCGAACAGGAUUAGAUACCCUAGUAGUC